GCCGGGAUAGCUCAGCUGGGAGAGCAACAGACUGAAGAACUUGUUCACGAUUAUUCUGGAGGUCCCGUGUUCAAUCCACGGUCCUGGCA